AUGCAGCCGCCUCCCCUCUCCCUCCCUUCCUCCCCAAACGCGCCGACCGCCUCCUCUCCACCUGCCGCCUCCCCUCUCCCUCCCUUCCUCCCCAAACGCGCUGGCCGCCUCCUCUCCACCUGCCAUACCGUGUCCCUGCUGGAGGUGGGAGGAUACCCGGGGGAGCAGAGGAGGGGGUUGGAUGAGGGGUUAGGAGGUGCGAGGCGAGCAGGAGGUGGGGUCGCCGGAGGAGCACAGCCGCCAGAGCAGAGCAGAGGAGUUCGAUGCAGGGGCGCAAUGGGAUGGUCAGAGAGCGCGCGGUAUCCUGCGAUACAUAUCCGCUCCCAAGCAGAGGAUGCAUCAGCGCUCGCUCCUCCUCUCCCCCACGCCACCGCUUUCCUGCGUCGUCGCUGCCGCCACAGCCUUGCUUGCCAUCGACCUCCCGGAUUUGUUCUUCCUGCUGCUAAGUAUUAG
rnacentral:rRNA from 1 species